CAGGGGGCCUCUGGUCGCGGGGCUAGGCCUCCCGUACCCUUCAAGGGUGGCAAAUGGUCUAAACGGCCGACCAUAGCUGAGGGGCGGCAUAACAACUCAAGUCAGCCUGAGCAUCCAACUGAGAAGCCCUGUCCCUAUGGGUUUUGCUAUCUGGAAACCCCCCAGGUCCGGAAGGAAGCAAGGGUAACUAGGUAGCAGAAUGCUAUAGGGCUUGCAGGGUGGAGAAGGAUGCUCAGAAAAACUGGCUUGGGAAGUUAUGUCCACCCGAAGCGUGCCCCCUG
rnacentral:SRP_RNA from 1 species